rnacentral:tRNA from 1 species
GGAGAGAUGGCUGAGUGGUUUAAAGCACCAGAUUGCUAAUCUGUUGUAUAAUAUUAAUUAUACCGAGGGUUCGAAUCCCUUUCUCUCCU